rnacentral:rRNA from 1 species
UGAGGAAUAUUGGUCAAUGGGCGCGAGCCUGAACCAGCCAAGUCGCGUGAGGGAUGACGGUCCUACGGAUUGUAAACCUCUUUAGGCGGGGAGUAAUGUGCUCUACGCGUAGAGUAGUGAGAGUACCCGCAGAAUAAGCAUCGGCUAACUCCGUGCCAGCAGCCGCGGUAAUACGGAGGAUGCGAGCGUUAUCCGGAUUUAUUGGGUUUAAAGGGUGCGCAGGCUGUGCAUCAAGUCAGCGGUAAAAUCUCGGGGCGCAACCCCGUUUAGCCGUUGAAACUGGUGUGCUGGAGUGUGCGCGAGGAAGGCGGAAUGCGCGGUGUAGCGGUGAAAUGCAUAGAUAUUGCGCAGAACUCCGAUUGCGAAGGCAGGCUUCCAGUGCAUGACUGACGCUGAGGCACGAAAGCGUGGGUAUCGAACAGG